rnacentral:rRNA from 1 species
CAGAGAUGGGUGUGCCGUAAGGCUGGUGUACAGGUGGUGCAUGGUUGUCGUCAGCUCGUGUCGUGAGAUGUUGGGUUAAGUCCCGCAACGAGCGCAACCCUUGUCUCAUGUUGCCAGCGGGUUAUGCCGGGGACUCAUGGGAGACUGCCGGGGUCAACUCGGAGGAAGGUGGGGAUGACGUCAAAUCAUCAUGCCCCUUAUGUCUUGGGCUUCACGCAUGCUACAAUGGCCGGUACAAAGGGUUGCGAUCCUGUGAGGGGGAGCGAAUCCCAAAAAGCCGGUCUCAGUUCGGAUUGGGGUCUGCAACUCGACCCCAUGAAGUCGGAGUCGCUAGUAAUCGCAGAUCAGCAACGCUGCGGUGAAUACGUUCUCGGGCCUUGUACUACACCGCCCGUCACGUCACGAAAGUCGGUAACACCCGAAGCCGGUGGCCCAACCCUUGUGGAGGGAGUCGUCGAAGGUGGGACUGGUGAUUGGGACG